rnacentral:rRNA from 1 species
AUGUACUUUCAACGCCGCCGUGAGGAGCAGAUCACCUCCACCAACGGCGUCAUCCCUCGCGGCCGCCUCAACGCCGACGAGCCGCGCGAGUGGUGGGGCGUGACAGGCCGCACCCUCGAGGCCGUCCUCGACCACAUCGAGAUCGGCAACCCUGAACCGGGGCUGCUCCCGGUGAAGCCGGGGCACGUCGAGAUGGUGGCCCCCGACGAUGAGUCCGCCCCUUGCAGGUCGGAGUCGGAGUCGGCGCCGCGGUCGCGCAGACCCAGCGCGGCGGAGAACAACCCUUCGCCCACCUCCUCCUCCGCUGCCUCUAGUGCCGGAGAUGCAGACGGCCGCGCCGCCGCCGACGACCACGAAGCGGUGGCUGACCGGCGUCAUGAAGAGCCCGCGGCCAGCAACGAUUCCGCCGCCGGCAUUGACCGCGGCGCGCACACCGCGCGGACGCUGAACCCGCUCAACGCCGAUGCCUUCGCCGCGGCCGCUGCCCAAUUCGCGGGCGAAGUGGCAGGCUCCCACUACGGU